rnacentral:rRNA from 1 species
UACGUAGGGGGCAAGCGUUGUCCGGAUUUAUUGGGCGUAAAGAGCGUGUAGGCGGCCACACAGGUCAGCUGUGAAAACUCGAGGCUCAACCUCGAGACGUCGGUUGAAACCGUAUGGCUAGAGUCCGGAAGAGGAGAGUGGAUUUCCCGGUGUAGCGGUGAAAUGCGCAGAUAUCGGGAAGAACACCCGUGGCGAAGGCGGCUCUCUGGGACGGUACUGACGCUGAGACGCGAAAGCGUGGGGAGCGAACAGG